AUUGAACGCUGGCGGCAUGCUUUACACAUGCAAGUCGAACGGCCGCGCGGGCUUCGGCCUGGCGGCGAGUGGCGAACGGGUGAGUAAUACAUCGGAACGUGCCCAGUAGUGGGGGAUAGCUCGGCGAAAGCCGGAUUAAUACCGCAUACGACCUGAGGGUGAAAGCGGGGGAUCUUCGGACCUCGCGCUAUUGGAGCGGCCGAUGGCAGAUUAGCUAGUUGGUGGGGUAAAGGCCUACCAAGGCGACGAUCUGUAGCUGGUCUGAGAGGACGACCAGCCACACUGGAACUGAGACACGGCCCAGACUCCUACGGGAGGCAGCAGUGGGGAAUUUUGGACAAUGGGCGAAAGCCUGAUCCAGCAAUGCCGCGUGUGUGAUGAAGGCCUUCGGGUUGUAAAGCACUUUUGGCGGGAACGAAAAGGACUGUGCCAAUACCACGGUUCGAUGACGGUACCCGCAGAGUAAGCACCGGCUAACUACGUG
rnacentral:rRNA from 1 species